UUGCAGAAUUCAGUGAAUCAUCUUAAUCUUUGAACGCACCUUGCGCCCUUUGGCUAUUCCGAAGGGCAUGCCUGUUUGAGUA
rnacentral:rRNA from 1 species